GUGCUCACUUUGGCAACACAUAUACUAAAAUUGGAACUACACAGAGAAGAUCAGUAUGACCACUGUGCAAGGAUGACACAAAAUUUGUAAAGCAUUUCAUAUUUAG